UGAGGUGCGACAUUCCGUGUA
rnacentral:miRNA from 1 species